UGGGAAUUGCUUUGGAUACUGUCGGGCUUGAGUGCAGGAGAGGUAAGUGGAAUUCCCAGUGUAGCGGUGAAAUGCGUAGAGAUUGGGAGGAACACCAGUGGCGAAGGCGACUUACUGGACUGUAACUGACGCUGAGGCGCGAAAGUGUGGGGAGCAAACAGGAUUAGAUACCCUGGUAGUCCACACUGUAAACGAUGAAUGCUAGGUGUAGGGGGUAUCGACCCCUUCUGUGCCGCAGUNNUGUCGUCAGCUCGUGUCGUGAGAUGUUGGGUUAAGUCCCGCAACGAGCGCAACCCUUAUUUUCAGUUACUAACACGUAAAGGUGAGGACUCUGAAGAGACUGCCGGGGACAACUCGGAGGAAGGUGGGGACGACGUCAAAUCAUCAUGCCCCUUAUGACCUGGGCUACACACGUGCUACAAUGGCCACCACAGAGAGGAGCGAACCUGCAAGGGGGAGCGGAUCUCAAAAAAGUGGUCCCAGUUCGGAUUGUGGGCUGCAACCCGCCCACAUGAAGUCGGAGUUGCUAGUAAUCGCGGAUCAGCAUGCCGCGGUGAAUACGUUCCCGGGCCUUGUACACACCGCCCGUCACACCAUGGGAGUUGGGAGUGCCCAAAGUCGGUGAGGUAACCGCAAGGAGCCAGCCGCCUAAGGCAAGACCAAUGACUGGGGUGAAGUCGUAACAAGGUAGCCGUAUCGGAAGGUGCGGCUG
rnacentral:rRNA from 1 species